rfam:Gossypium raimondii Chr11_contig_726, whole genome shotgun sequence.
UUUUGUUAAUGUUAUCCAUUUGUACUUUUAAAAACUAGUGUGACUGAUAGAAUAAUCAGACACUUGUAUCUCAUGCUGAUGUACAAAGACCAGUUUUUAACAACAAAAAUGGAUGAAAUUGUUAAUA